CUUCUUCUUUCUGCCUAAAAGCAGGCCACGUUUCCCUUUGUAAAGGUAACAUAAAUUUCCACUUGUAAAGGAAUUGUGAAGUGGUGCCUCUCUCCAAUACCAGAAGAGGAGAAUAACUGUUAAUCACUGGAGAUGACUUAUCACUGGAGACAUUACCAAGGGAACAUGGAGACUAAGAAGUACUUUCUCCUUGAAUUGAUUUGUAAGUGGAACUUUCCAACAGCAAAACAGCUGGAUGUUUGUGCUUUUAAAAUCUGGACUCUGGACUUGAUCUUCAGAAGAACAGGAAGCAAGGUGUUUGCACUGAGUUUGACAUGCACAGUAGUGAUUAAUUGACUUGUCAGUGCUGGGCUUUCUUGCCUCUAAGGUCCUGCCUCUUGCUUCUUUUGCCCUGGUGUUAAUCCCAUGCAGCUGGUGCAGAAACAGAACCAAGAGCUUGGAAGUCACAAGGUGGCGCCACCCCAACUAGGACUGUUCUUUCAAAGCCCAGUGCCCAGUUGGUGAAAUGACCCACCAGCAUUGCACAGGAGAGCCCCAGAGAGAUAUGUCCAGGAUAUACGAUCAGUCUGGUGUUCUGAGCCUUAAGGUAUGGUUGCAGCGAUGACGCAUUGCAGAACCAAAGGAAUUUGUCCUUAGGAUAGACCUUCCAAAGGCCGAUCAACAGCGACAAAAAACAAGCUUUCAAACCAACAAGAGAAGACAUGAUUGCAGUGCCUUCAUAACGACAUUGCUUUAUUGAUGAAAUGCAAGGAAAACUACGUUAGAAUCUACUGAUUCUCUUUGAGAUCUAAUAAUACGCUUUAUUCAAAUCUUAUUCACAAACCACUUCCUCCACGGGUCUUUCACAGGAACUGAAAUUGGCCAGUUACAAACAGAAUUGGUUCUACUGUCCUUUGAAAUCACAGACGCAGACAUGUUUUAGAAUACAAAAGACACCAAGCUUUCUUUGGGAAACACGUCCUGUUUGGAAAAAAAAAAACUCACUUCUUAACAAAAAUUGAAAGCACGCCUAACUUCAGAUUUAUUUGAUUACAGAGUCUUUCUCAGGGCUAAUCAGUUUUAGAACAGGUUCCUACUGGCACCAGAGAGCCAAUAAAAAGUCCAGGAGAGAAGAGGUAACACAACAACUUAGGGAAACAAGGUUGUUUAUUUUUUUAAACAGUAUUCAUAUUUAUACCGCUGAGUGAAAUUAUUUAUACACACCCUGUAGGUUUUGCAUCUUCAGAAUUUGUUAGCAUUCAGAGGAUGAUAAACUGUACCUUGGACUUAUUUGUGAAAAAAUAUGUAGAUGACACCUGGUGGAGUUUAUUGAAACUAUUAUUCAGGUGUAGAGCCAGAGAAACUCAGCAGAAAGGGAAGCCGGGUUUUUAGAUGUCACAAUGGAUGGUUAAAAAUUUCAGCUUUGGGGCAACAUUAUAAUACUCAAAUUAUUUGCCUCUGGUCCUCAUUUUCUCCAUCUCUAGCAUCGGUUCUGAACUCAGGGUUUUCUGUAAAUAUUAAAUGGCAUAAUGCAUGCUGAGAGAUCUGUGUGGGCCCUCCCAGGGUUAAGAAUCCAAUAAAUGUUAGCUCAUGUAUCAUCAUUAUUACAGAGAA